rnacentral:rRNA from 1 species
GUGUCAACCGCCACGGUAAUACGUAGGUGGCGAGCGUUGUCCGGAAUUACUGGGUGUAAAGGGCGUGUAGGCGGGGGAGCAAGUCAGAUGUGAAAGCCCAAGGCUCAACUUUGGGAUUGCAUCUGAAACUGUUUCUCUUGAGUACUGGAGAGGGAAGCGGAAUUCCUAGUGUAGCGGUGAAAUGCGUAGAGAUUAGGAGGAACACCAGUGGCGAAGGCGGCUUCCUGGACAGAGACUGACGCUGAGGCGCGAAAGCGUGGGGAGCGAACAGGAUUAGAUACCCUGGUAGUCCACGCCGUAAACGAUGGAUACUAGGUGUAGGAGGUAUCGACUCCUUCUGUGCCGGAGUUAACACAAUAAGUAUCCCACCUGGGGGGUACGGCCGCAAGGUUGAAACUUAAAUAAAUUGGCGG